CUUUCCACUCUUCAGUUUGAUGCCUAUUCAAAUAAAGUAUAGGUUUCCCUGAGAAUGGCGACUUAUCAUGAUGUAUCUUGAAAGAAGUUACCGCAGAAACUAUAAUGAGAAGGGAGUAGAGAAACCAGAAAAGAUCCCUAUUAAAACUCUUCUUUGAGGAAUUAAAGAAAUCUGUUCGGUCACAUAGAUAAAAAUACCCCAG
rnacentral:misc_RNA from 1 species